GACAGAGGGUGCAAACGUUGUUCGGAAUUACUGGGCGUAAAGCGCGUGUAGGCGGCUAAGUAAGUCGGGCGUGAAAUCCCACGGCUCAACCGUGGAAGUGCACUCGAAACUGCAUAGCUAGAGUCCUGGAGAGGAAGGUGGAAUGCUUGGUGUAGAGGUGAAAUUCGUAGAUAUCAAGCGGAACACCGGUGGCGAAGGCGGCCUUAGCUGGACAGUCGACUGACGCUGAGACGCGAAAGCGUGGGGAGCAAACAGG
rnacentral:rRNA from 1 species